GGGUCGUAAACUUCUUUUAUAUGGGAAUAAAGUUUUCCACGUGUGGAAUUUUGUAUGUACCAUAUGAAUAAGGAUCGGCUAACUCCGUGCCAGCAGCCGCGGUAAUACGGAGGAUCCGAGCGUUAUCCGGAUUUAUUGGGUUUAAAGGGAGCGUAGGUGGAUUGUUAAGUCAGUUGUGAGAGUUUGCGGCUCAACCGUAAAAUUGCAGUUGAAACUGGCAGUCUUGAGUACAGUAGAGGUGGGCGGAAUUCGUGGUGUAGCGGUGAAAUGCUUAGAUAUCACGAAGAACUCCGAUUGCGAAGGCAGCUCACUAGACUGUUACUGACACUGAUGCUCGAAAGUGUGGGUAUCAAACAGGAUUAGAUACCCUGGUAGUCCACACAGUAAA
rnacentral:rRNA from 1 species